CGCCCCGCACAGCGGAGCGGCACAUUCAACAUGAAGUCCAUGCUCGUGCUGCUGGGAGUGGUAGCCCUCAGUCUGGCCGUAUUUGCAAAAGUUUGCCUCAACAGGCCAGGCCAGUGUCCCACAUUCAUCUCGCCGUUUUCUCUCCCAAGAACUCUGUGCAGCACCGACUGCGACUGCAACCUCAGUCACCACAAAGGCACCUGGAGGUGUUGUCCGACCUUCGUGGGCGACGUCUGCCUGCCGCCGUGCAACCCUGUGUGUCCCUUGUUCAGUGUCUGUACGCUCGUCAGUCAGGUGAAGCCAUGGAAGUCCUACUGCGUCUUCGCUGGCCCCACGAAGAGCUAGCAGCCUGGUCGGGAGGCAGCCGGAUGUAGCGACUAUCAGAGACAGCCGGACUCGGUCGGCCGCACGGCAGAUAUUGCAAGAUCAGCGCUUCAGUGAAUAAUAUGUGCACGGUGAUCAGAGCUUGGAGAUUCAGAAAUAUACAUAAGCCAUGA
rnacentral:lncRNA from 1 species